rnacentral:rRNA from 1 species
ACGCUCGACACCUAGGGGCAGCAGUGGGGAAUAUUGCACAAUAGGGGAAACCCUGAUGCAGCGACGCCGCGUGGAGGAAGAAGGUCUUCGGAUUGUAAACUCCUGUUGUUGGGGAAAAAGAGGAUGGUACCCAACAAGGAAGUGACGGCUAACUACGUGCCAGCAGCCGCGGUAAUCUGAGCGGGCUGGCAAGGC